rnacentral:rRNA from 1 species
CUCGUAGGCGGUUUGUCGCGUCGGGAGUGAAAACACCGGGCUUAACUCGGUGCUUGCUUUCGAUACGGGCAGACUAGAGGUAUGCAGGGGAGAACGGAAUUCCUGGUGUAGCGGUGAAAUGCGCAGAUAUCAGGAGGAACACCGGUGGCGAAGGCGGUUCUCUGGGCAUUACCUGACGCUGAGGAGCGAAAGUGUGGGGAGCGAACA